UUCGCAAUGCCCGAAAGGGUGAACGAGCGACGCCGCGUGCGGGAUGAAGGCCUUCGGGUUGUAAACCGCUUUUCUUAAGGAAGAACUUAAUGACGGUACUUAAGGAAUAAGAGGUUACUAACUCUGUGCCAGCAGUAGCGGUAAUACAGAGACCUCAAGCGUUAUCCGGAUUUAUUGGGCGUAAAGCACGGGUAGGCGGGAAUAUUAGUCAGAUGUCAAAUCUUCGAGCUCAACUCGAGAACUGCAUUUGAAACGGUAUAUCUAGAGAGUGUGAGAGACCAGUGGAACUCAUGGUGUAGCAGUGAAAUGCGUUGAUAUCAUGGGGAACACCAAAGGCGAAGGCAUCUGGUUGGCGCACUUCUGACGCUGAGCCGCGAAAGCGUGGGUAGCGAAUGGGAUUAGAUACCCCAGUAGUCCUAGCCCUAAACGAUGGGCACUAAGUAGAGGGGUUUU
rnacentral:rRNA from 1 species